rnacentral:lncRNA from 1 species
UUGUUUUUUGUCGUUUGUCUUGAGGACGCGAGGUGGCACCCGUUUCAUGUAAACCCAAAAAGUUGGCCUCGUUUACCGACCCCAAACUGACCUGAGAAGUAGGACGGACACCCUCUUCGAAAUCGGGAAGCUAAAAAAAAAAAAAAAAAAAAAUUAAAAAAAAAAAAGAGAAAAUUAAUUAAAAAAAAUGAUAAUAAAACGAAUCAAGAAAGAUAGGGUGAUUUAUUUUACUGAUCCGUCUAAAGGCAAUGAAGAACUAGGCACGCCCUCAAAAAAGGAGGAAUUUGCAACGGCUAAGUCAAAAACCUUGGAUGUCUCUUUCGAUGGACAGUGGUUGCUAGACUCGUCGUUCGAAGGUAAAAGCGCGGAGAUGAUCUCAUUCCCUU